AUCCGGUGUGUCAAAAGUCAGUAUCAAGAAAAACAGAAGAGAAACGAAUUGACUUAACAGAAAUAUCAGAAAACUGGAUUUUGGUGGAAAAACAAAAGGAUCCAGAAAUAUUAGAAAUCAUCAAAUGUUUUGUAUAGAAAGAUGCAGAGAAAUUCAAAAACUCGUUGUUUACCUGUAGUUCCUCGUGUGUGCCGUUGGUCAAUUAUAAAUCAGGUACAUGAGUCUAUCAUGCAUCUAGGUUGGCAGAAAACGCUGGACAAGGUAUACGAUCAUUACUGGUUUUCUGGCAUGACAAAAUAUGUUUGAAGAUUUGUGGAGAACUGUAUUACAUGCAGAGUUUCUAAGGGUACGGCAGGAAACCCUCAAAUUGAAUUACACCCAAUUCCAAAAAUUAGCAUUCCUUGGCACACCGCCCACAUAGACAUAUCGGGAAAAUUGAGCGGAAAAAAUGAUCGUAAAGAAUGUAUCAUUGUACAAAUCGACGCUUUUACUAAUACGAAUACUUGCAUAAACGCAAUGAAA